UUUUAAAUGUGCCAAUUGCUUUGUAUUGGUUGACAAUGAAGGCUGCGAUAGUAUAAUACUGAAAAUGCUACAGCGAUACCUUCAGCUUCAGACUCUGGUUCUCUCUCUGUCUGUCUGUCUGUCUGUCUCUCUUUUGUUGUUUGCUGUAAUAAUAAUUACAACUUACUAACCUCGUAUAUAUCUAUGUAUAUGGUACAGGUAUUCCCUCGUAUAUAUCUUGACAGAUUCGAAAUUUUAACUCCUGGAAGGAAAAUUCCAGAGUGGUUCAGUAAUCAAAGUUCGGGAGAUUCCCUAACUGUGGAGCUACCUCUGGAUUCAUGUACCACGUGGAUGGGAAUUGCUUUAUGUGCUGUGUUUGAAGUUCAGGCUAAAUUUCAUUAUUUUCAAAUUAGUUGUUCCCCACAAGGAAUGCGGCCACAUAUAGUAAUUUCAAAAUAUUUUGAAAUAGGCGAUGUUGUGUCAGAUCACCUUUGGGUAAUUUAUGUACCUUGUCUACAAUUUGAGAAGAUAUGCGGUCAGAUAAAGGUUUUGUUCACAACUAAUUAUUGUUUUCGAGGCAUGAUGCCGGGAGACAAAAAAUCUUGUGUGAAGAAGUGUGGGUUUCGUUUGGUGCACGAGCAAGAUGUGGAACAACUCAACCAAAUCAUGAUGAACAAAUCCAUCAUCAAGAGUUCUACUACUUAUCCUACCAAUUCAGCUGAUGCACAAGGUCAACAUCGCCAUGAUGACGAGGACGCCAGUCCUAGUGGAAGUGGUAGCUAAUCUCUCUUCUGCAAUACCUAUGCUCUUUCCGAAGAGGCAGACCAAGAUGAAUUAAAUGAUGAUGAUGUUGUUGUUGACGAAGCUCGGCCCAGAAAAAGAAAAAAAGAUCGAUGUGAUUGGGACUAACCUAUGAUUCCUCACUUUCAAAGCAAGAGGCAUCACAGCUGCUGUAUUUCAAUUACAUAAUUACAAGACUACUGCUGUUGAAGCCAGCCAUUUGUGUCCUGUAGUCAACUGAAAUUUGGGUUCCUAAUGCCAUGGCCGAUACUGGGCACACUGCUAAUGUGCAACUCAAAAUGAUCGAAAGUAUUUGCAUGCUUAUUGGCCAGGUUCGCAUGAAAUUUUCACCUCAAAAUCUACAGGUUCAUUAGACCUGCCUGGUUCUUAUUGACACAACUUAUGUGACUAUUUAAACUGCUAUAUUCUGUUGUGUGUAGGAUGAAAUAAGCCAACAAGAAUUCUCAAUCAGAUGCGUAAACAUUGGCAUUGAUCUGAUUAAAACCGAUCAAUUGCUUUGUCGGAACUCCUCCCCUGUCUGUUUCAUUGAUCAUAUCUUUGAUAGUAUGUGCAAUCUAUUAUUCAAUUAUGUAGUCUUCUCUUAUUUAGCAUCUCAGUUUCAAAUUAUGCAACAUAAUGGAAUUCAUGAGAGGUUCAUUAACAUCACAAUAAGUUGAGUAGAAUUUGGCAGUGCUAGUUGUAUCUUGAAUAAAAUUAUAGUAACUUUUUCAUUGUAAAAUAUUUGGAAAAUUGGAGUUAAGAAGUACCACAUGAUUGAUGAA